rnacentral:rRNA from 1 species
UACGGAGGGUCCAAGCGUUAAUCGGAAUUACUGGGCGUAAAGCGCGCGUAGGCGGCUUGUUAAGUCAGAUGUGAAAGCCCCGGGCUCAACCUGGGAACUGCAUUUGAAACUGGCAAGCUAGAGUGUGUGAGAGGUGAGUGGAAUUUCCAGUGUAGCGGUGAAAUGCGUAGAGAUUGGAAGGAACAUCAGUGGCGAAGGCGACUCACUGGCAUAACACUGACGCUGAGGUGCGAAAGCGUGGGUAGCAAACAGG